UGCGCAGGCGGUUUUGUAAGACAGUGGUGAAAUCCCCGGGCUCAACCUGGGAACUGCAUUUGUGACUGUAUAGCUAGAGUACGGCAGAGGGGGAUGGAAUUCCGCGUGUAGCAGUGAAAUGCGUAGAUAUGCGGAGGAACACCGAUGGCGAAGGCAAUCCCCUGGGCCUGUACUGACGCUCAUGCACGAAAGCUGGGGAGCAAACA
rnacentral:rRNA from 1 species